rnacentral:rRNA from 1 species
UACGAAGGGGGCUAGCGUUGCUCGGAACCACUGGGCGUAAAGGGCGCGUAGGCGGCCAUUCAAGUCGGGGGUGAAAGCCUGUGGCUCAACCACAGAAUUGCCUUCGAUACUGUUUGGCUUGAGUAUGGUAGAGGUUGGUGGAACUGCGAGUGUAGAGGUGAAAUUCGUAGAUAUUCGCAAGAACACCGGUGGCGAAGGCGGCCAACUGGACCAUUACUGACGCUGAGGCGCGAAAGCCAGGGGAGCAAACGGG